rnacentral:rRNA from 1 species
UACAGAGGGUGCGAGCGUUGUCCGGAAUCACUGGGCGUAAAGGGUGCGUAGGUGGCCUGGUAAGUAGGGGGUGAAAUCUCGCGGCUCAACUGCGAGGCUGCCUCCUAAACUGUCAGGCUCGAGCAGAGUAGAGGCAGGUGGAAUUCCCGGUGUAGCGGUGGAAUGCGUAGAGAUCGGGAAGAACAUCGGUGGCGAAGGCGGCCUGCUGGGCUCUUGCUGACACUGAGGCGCGACAGCGUGGGGAGCAAACAGG